GCCAAACAAUUAACCCCCCAAUGACCCAUCAUCCUCAACCCCACAAACCAAAAUAUUUUUUAAAUACAGUAAAGAUGAUUAAAAUAUUAAUAAGAGUAAUAUAAAUGUACCGCAAGGGAAAACUGAAAUAACCCACAUUAAAUCCUUUAAGCACAAAAAAGUAGAGAUUACCCCUCGUUCCUUUUGCAUCAUGAUUUAACAAGAAACCAUGGACAAAAAGAAAUUUAGUCCUUAACCCCGAAUCCAAGUGAGCUACCUAAGGGCAACUUAAUGAGCUAACCCGUCUCUGUUGCAAAAGAGUGGGAAGACCCUUUAGUAGAGGUGAUAUGCCUACCGCACUUGGUGAUAGCUGGUUAUUCAAGAAAAGAAUUUUAGUUCUCCCUAAAGUCCAACAAAUCACCAAUUAUAACCCAUAUACUUUAGAGCUACUCAAAUAAGGUACAGCUUAUUUGAAACAGGGCACAACCUACACCAAUGGGUAAUUACAAUUUUAUUGCAAAUCCGUCGGCCUAGAAGCAGCCACCAAGUAAAUGCGUUAAAGCUUUUUUGCUAUAUUACACCCCUCAAUACCAUUUUUUUUCCACAACCCUUCACCACUAUUGAAUAAUUCUAUACUAUAUAGAACCUAUGAUGUUAAAACUAGUAAAAAGAAUACUUUUCUCUUAAAUGUAACCCAAAUCAUUUUUAUCACGCCACUAAAAUUAUAAUAACAACUACAAUCCUUCCCCCCUCCCUCCAUUUAAAACUUUAUUUUUAACCAACGUUUUCUAACCCAAGAACACUCCAAGCAAGACAAAACAAAAAAAAAGGAACUCGGCAAAUAUAGAUAUCGCCUGUUUACCAAAAACAUCGCCUCUUGACUUCUAUAAGAGGUCCAGCCUGCCCAGUGAAUUUUUAACGGCCGCGGUAUUCUAACCGUGCAAAGGUAGCACAAUCACUUGUUCUUUAAUUAAGGACCGGUAUGAAUGGCACCACGAAUAUCUAACUGUCUCUUUUCUUCAAUCAUUGAAACUAAUCUCCCCGUGAAAAAGCGGGGAUAUAUCUAUAAGACGAGAAGACCCUAUGGAGCUUUAAACCAAAUAGCAAUUAUUUUAAUUCUGCUACGAGGUUUUUGGUCGGGGCAGCCGCGGAGAACAACUUAUCCUCCAAAUUGUACCUAGAAUCUUCUUUAACCAUAAGCCACAUCUUUACGUAUCAAUAAAUUGACAUUAAUUGACCCAGUUUCUGAUCAACGAAACAAGUUACCCUAGGGAUAACAGCGCAAUCUUCUUCGAGAGUUCAUAUCGACAAGCGGGUUUACGACCUCGAUGUUGGAUCAGGGUGACCUGGUGGUGCAGACGC
rnacentral:rRNA from 1 species